rnacentral:rRNA from 1 species
CUACGGGGUGCAGCAGUGGGGAAUAUUGCACAAUGGGCGCAAGCCUGAUGCAGCCAUGCCGCGUGUAUGAAGAAGGCCUUCGGGUUGUAAAGUACUUUCAGCGGGGAGGAAGGGAGUAAAGUUAAUACCUUUGCUCAUUGACGUUACCCGCAGAAGAAGCACCGGCUAACUCCGUGCCAGCAGCCGCGGUAAUACGGAGGGUGCAAGCGUUAAUCGGAAUUACUGGGCGUAAAGCGCACGCAGGCGGUUUGUUAAGUCAGAUGUGAAAUCCCCGGGCUCAACCUGGGAACUGCAUCUGAUACUGGCAAACUUGAGUCUCGUAGAGGGGGGUAGAAUUCCAGGUGUAGCGGUGAAAUGCGUAGAGAUCUGGAGGAAUACCGGUGGCGAAGGCGGCCCCCUGGACGAAGACUGACGCUCAGGUGCGAAAGCGUGGGGAGCAAACAGGAUUAGAUACCCGAGUAGUC